rnacentral:rRNA from 1 species
GACGAACGCUGGCGGCGUGCUUAACACAUGCAAGUCGAACGGUGAAGGAGGGAGCUCUGUCUCUACUGGUCGGUGACGAACGGGUGAGUAAUACGUAAGCAGCCCGCGACGCAGGCUUGGAUGCUCGUUGCAAACGACGUCUAAUACCGGAAACGACGCGGGAGUGCAUCGUUGCCGGAAGGAAUGAACGUCGGGUCGGGAUUGGCGGCCGGCCUAUCAGCUUGUUGGGGAGGUAACGGCUCACCAAGGCGAGGACGGGUAGCCGGCCUGGGAGGGUGACCGGCCACACUGGGACUGAGACACGGCCCAGACUCCUACGGGAGGCAGCAGUGGGGAAUAUUGCACAAUGGGCGCAAGCCUGAUGCAGCAACGCCGCGUGAGGGAAGACGGCCUUCGGGUUGUAAACCUCUUUUAGCAGGGAAGAAGCGAAAGUGACGGUACCUGCAGAAAAAGCACCGGCUAACUACGUG